AACCAUAGCCAAGGGAACGGGCUUGGCAGAAUCAUUGGCGAAAAAAGGCCCUGUGGAGCUUGACUCUGGCUCG
rnacentral:miRNA from 10 species